AGUAUUCAGCUGACUUUUCUCAGCAGUCCUACAGCAAGGCUAGGUGGUGCAGAAGGAGGGCUCCAAACCUCAGCUGACCACACUGAUGUGUAUUUUGAGAUUUUUAGACUUCUCAUGUAGGCAGUUUUCAAAAAUUGAUACAGAGGAAAUAGAUACUUUUCUGCCAGUGGAAAUUCUUCAUGCUGAGUUGUAAGAAGUUCCAUGGACCGUUUAGCUAUUAAAGGCUGACUGUCCAUAUGGCUUCCUCCACUCAUAGAUGGUAGUAAUCAGGAUGGUACCUGACUUUGCCUCUUGGUGCCACCUCUCCAAAAUUCAGACUACAAACUGAGAAUUGACGAUUUUCAACAGCACAUCAAUAUUUUCCUACAUCCAGUCACAGCAGGUAGAACCAUGAUGGGCCCUAUGGCAUUGAGGAACAGUGAGCUUCAGAAUGCUGCAGGUCUGAACAAGCAUCCACUGAAGCCACCUACAUUGUUGGUAUCCUGGUGAGACCACUUGGAAAGCAAAUGGUCUGCAAAAUGAUCUACAUUAUCUUGAUUUUCUCCUCAAUGAAUCAUUCAAGUGUACUACAACAGGUCAUUAAAGGUAAAAGGAAGCUGUUUAGUGAAUUGUUGUCAUGUACAAAAUGUUUGUUCUGCAUAAAUAACAUUCCCACAUAAAGGAUGU